rnacentral:rRNA from 1 species
ACGGGAGGCAGCAGUGGGGAAUAUUGGGCAAUGGGCGAAAGCCUGACCCAGCAACGCCGCGUGAAGGAAGAAGGUCUUUGGAUUGUAAACUUCUUUUAUGGGGGACGAAUAAAUGACGGUACCUCAUGAAUAAGCCACGGCUAACUACGUGCCAGCAGCCGCGGUAAUACGUAGGUGGCAAGCGUUAUCCGGAUUUACUGGGUGUAAAGGGCGCGUAGGCGGGAAGGCAAGUCAGAUGUGAAAUCCAUGAGCUCAACUCAUGAACUGCAUUGAAACUGUCUUUCUUGAGUGCCGGAGAGGUAGAUGGAAUUCCUAGUGUAGCGGUGAAAUGCGUAGAUAUUAGGAAGAACACCAGUGGCGAAGGCGAUCUACUGGACGAUAACUGACGCUGAGGCGCGAAAGCGUGGGGAGCAAACAGGAUUAGAUACCCUGGUA